rnacentral:rRNA from 1 species
AACGAACGCUGGCGGCAGGCUUAACACAUGCAAGUCGAACGAUGUAGCAAUACAUAGUGGCGCACGGGUGAGUAACGCGUGGGAAUAUACCUUAUAGUGGGGAAUAACUUUGGGAAACUAAAGCUAAUACCGCAUACGCCCGAGAGGGGAAGAUUUAUCGCUAUAAGAUUAGCCCGCGUGAGAUUAGGUAGUUGGUGGGGUAAUGGCCUACCAAGCCUACGAUCUCUAGCUGGUCUGAGAGGAUGAUCAGCCACACUGGGACUGAGACACGGCCCAGACUCCUACGGGAGGCAGCAGUGGGGAAU